rnacentral:SRP_RNA from 1 species
CUUGUCAUCAUCGAUCCUCACCAGGAUUGCUGGUCCCGCUGGACCGGGGGUGACGGAGCUCCUGGCUGGAC